rnacentral:rRNA from 1 species
UACGUAGGGUGCGAGCGUUGUCCGGAAUUAUUGGGCGUAAAGAGCUUGUAGGCGGUUUGUCGCGUCUGCUGUGAAAUUUCGGGGCUCAACCCCGAACUUGCAGUGGGUACGGGCAGACUAGAGUGUGGUAGGGGAGACUGGAAUUCCUGGUGUAGCGGUGAAAUGCGCAGAUAUCAGGAGGAACACCGGUGGCGAAGGCGGGUCUCUGGGCCGUAACUGACGCUGAGGAGCGAAAGCGUGGGGAGCGAACAGG